GAUGAACGCUGGCGGCGUGCCUAAUACAUGCAAGUCGAGCGAACAGACGAGGAGCUUGCUCCUCUGACGUUAGCGGCGGACGGGUGAGUAACACGUGGAUAACCUACCUAUAAGACUGGGAUAACUUCGGGAAACCGGAGCUAAUACCGGAUAACAUGUUGAACCGCAUGGUUUAACAGUGAAAGACGGUCUUGCUGUCACUUAUAGAUGGAUCCGCGCCGCAUUAGCUAGUUGGUAAGGUAACGGCUUACCAAGGCAACGAUGCGUAGCCGACCUGAGAGGGUGAUCGGCCACACUGGAAGUGAGACGCGGUCCAGACUCCUACGGGAGGCAGCAGUAGGGAAUCUGCCGCAAUGGGCGAAAGCCUGACGGAGCAACGCCGCGUGAGUGAAGAAGGUCUUCGGAUCGUAAAACUCUGUUAUUAGGGAAGAACAAAUGUGUAAGUAACUAUGCACGGCUUGACGGUACCUAAUCAGAAAGCCACGGCUAACUACGUG
rnacentral:rRNA from 1 species